GACGAACGCUGGCGGCGUGCUUAACACAUGCAAGUCGAACGGAAAGGCCCUGCUUUUGUGGGGUGCUCGAGUGGCGAACGGGUGAGUAACACGUGAGUAACCUGCCCUUGACUUUGGGAUAACUUCAGGAAACUGGGGCUAAUACCGGAUAGGAGCUCCUGCUGCAUGGUGGGGGUUGGAAAGUUUCGGCGGUUGGGGAUGGACUCGCGGCUUAUCAGCUUGUUGGUGGGGUAGUGGCUUACCAAGGCUUUCACGGGUAGCCGGCCUGAGAGGGUGACCGGCCACAUUGGGACUGAGAUACGUCCCAGACUCCUACGGGAGGCAGCAGUGGGGAAUAUUGCACAAUGGGCGGAAGCCUGAUGCAGCAACGCCGCGUGCGGGAUGACGGCCUUCGGGUUGUAAACCGCUUUCGCCUGUGACGAAGCGUGAGUGACGGUAAUGGGUAAAGAAGCACCGGCUAACUACGUG
rnacentral:rRNA from 1 species